GCCGGGGUGGCCCAGUCUGGUACGGCGUUGGCCUGCUAAGCCAAUGAUCCUUUGGAUCACGCGGGUUCAAAUCCCGUCCCCGGCG
rnacentral:tRNA from 1 species